GAUGGGAAAUGAUGAGAAGUUAAGUGUCAUAGGCUCUUGCUGUGCUGAAUGCAGAUAUUUGCACGUCAGUCUGAUCCCACG